rnacentral:rRNA from 1 species
UACGUAGGGUGCGAGCGUUGUCCGGAAUCACUGGGCUUAAAGCGCGUGUAGGCGGGACGCACGUCGGUAGCUGAAAUCCCCGGCUCAACCGGGAAGGGCGCCGAUACGACCGGCCUGGAGGGGUAGGGGCGCCGGAACUCACGGUGGAGCGGUGAAAUGCGUUGAGAUCGUGAGGAACGCCCGUGGCGAAAGCGGGCGCCUGGACCCGCCUGACGCUGAGACGCGAAAGCCAGGGAGCGAACGGG